AGCCGUGGAAGGGAGUGGACGGUUCGAGCGGCGCACAGACGACUGUCUCUCCCCGAUCCCUUUCUCUCCUUCAUCUCUCCUGUUCGUUGUCAAAACAGAAAUCCCCCACAUCCCAUCGAUCAGCGGCAAAGAAGGAAGGGCACGGCUGGCGGGGGAUCGCCGCCAUGACUGCGUGCAAAGGGGAGAUUGGUGCAGUAGCGGCCAGGCGAAGAGAUCUCUUUGUGGAUCCGGCAACUGUGCGGGCAGUGACAAAAAAGACUAGAUCGGCAAGGCGGGAUGGACACGGUGAGGCGCCACCAUCCGGCGGUGGGCGGCGGCUGCGGGGGCCCGACGUCGUUGCGGUGCUCCAGCUCUUCGGCGCAGGAGUUCGCGGGGCUGGCGUCCGUGUUCCGGCGGCGGCUGGUGGUGGGGACGACUAUGGUGGCGGCCGACUUUGGGGCGUCAUCAGGCUGUCCCCAGAGCUCGGGCGCUCGCUGAGGCUCGACGUGCCUGGACUCCUCCAUCUGCGGCUUCACACGAUGCCUGGACUCCUUCAUUGAUUCGGUAAUUUGAUGCCUGGACUCCUUUGGUAGCUUAGCUUCCUUCUCCUACUUUUUUUUAUCAACUCUUGGUUGAACAAACAGACUACUACUGCUCAACGUUUACGCAUUAACAGCUGAUUUCUGUCAUUCCAUUCUCCUCAAGGGAUUGAGUUGCUCUUUCAGAUCCGUCACGCCAUUUUGCUAAAUUUUUCAGAGUUCAAAGCUUUUGGAUUCUAGCCAAACACUAUACUACUGAGGUAAUAUCAUGCAAAAAAGAAGCACUUCAGCCACAACUCAUUUAGGGACCAGCCGAAAAUGUUGCACACACACAUAUUCGCGCGUGGCCGCAGAGUUGCACGCUCUAGUUGGUAUAGUCGCACACGCUUGGUCGCAUAGUUGCACACUCUUUGGCACAUGCCCGGCCGUGUAGUCGCACAUGCACGCCCGCGGAGUUGCACACCCUCGUCCGCGUGGUCGCACAUGCACGCCCGCGGAGUUGCACACUCUUGCCGGUAUAGAAGCACAUGCCCAGCCGUGGAGUUGCACGCUCUUGUUCGAGUAGUCACGCAUGCACUCCUGCGGAGUUGCACACUCUUGUCGACUCUUGUCGGCAUAGGAGCACACGCCUGGCCGCAGAGUUGCACACCCUCGUCCGCGUGGUCGCACAUGCACGCCCGCGGAGUUGCACACUCUUGUCGACUCUUGUCGGCAUAGGAGCACACGCCUGGCCGCAGAGUUGCACACUCUCGUCCGCGUACGUAGUCGCACACGCACGAUCACGGAGGUGCACACUCACUUCCAAGCAGUCGCACACGCACGGCCACAGAGGUGCACACGUGUGUCGGCACAGUCAUGUGUGCGUGUGGUUCUUUGGUUGCACACUCAAGUGUGCCCUGUUUUCAAGUGUAUACGUGAGGAGUUUGUAGAUCUAAGCAGUUCAUAUCCUAGUUGGCUUUGCCACAGUUAUGCAGUUUCACAGGGAAUGGCUAUCGGCUAGUUUAGUUUUGGCUCCAGUGCCUACAUCAUCUUCAGGCAGUGUGUAUGCUGAUUUUUUUUUGGUUGCACACUAAUGUCUGCCCAGUUGGCCAUACAGUGCAUCAAGUUGCACACAAUUUUGUUUUGUUUGGUAGGUGUGCUUUGAAAAAUCAGCAUGAGUUGCUUACCUCAUGGCACUUUUUUGAUAUCAAUUGUUCUUGCUCAUUUUUUCUUUAUACAUUUGGUUGCUGCGACUAAUUUGUUUGUUCGCUUUUUUUAGCAGACUAAAAAUGGUUGUAGAAGGAGAUGUGGCUCCUAGUGAAGGAUAGGCAUGCUCGCUUUUUCAUCGUUUUUCAUUUAUCCUUGUAGCAGUUUUGUUUUCAAUUAUAAUAACUAUUAUUUUGGGGUUUUCCUACCAUGUUCUAUGUUUUGUUUGUUUUAUGCAGGGGUCUGCAAACUGUUCUUCUCGGCAGAAUUCGAAACGGCAUGCCGAUCGGCAGUCUCGUCGUGUUGAUAUCGAUAGGGAGGUAGAGGAUGAUGAGGUUGGUGACCAAUUCUGCAUUGUGAAACGAUGGAAAUGGAAGGCGGCCGCGCUGGUGGGAGUUGUGUAUGGAGAUGGCACAUCGUUUGCAACAGUUGUUGAGGUUUUACAGGUUAUGGGGGUAGAAGAGCUGCUAUAGAUUUGUGCACACAAUUCUCAGCUACAAAGUCACAUAUACUACUGUGUGGAAAGAUCAAAGGAAAAAAACACUUCCAAACCAGAUUCUUGUCUAGUAGUUGCACGAAAAUCAGUUAAAAGAGCACAAGUACCAGAUCUCCCCGUUUUAAUCUCUGUUUAUGCUAUCUUCAACAACUAUGGAGAAGCUACUUUUGCAAAGAGAAAUUUGGUGAGGGAGAAAGGGAAAGGCAAGGAGGAAGGACCUGAACAGGAGGAGAAAGGAUCACCUCUUUUUCCACCCUUGCUGGUGCCUACUGCCUGCUCUAGCAAUGGAGAUCCAGACAUGAAAACCCCUUUGUUUCAUGGGUAAGAAGGUGGGGCAGGCAGAGGCGUGGGGAAAAAGAAGUUGGUGGUCAGAGGGGCGUGAGAGCUUCAGGAGGGGAGGGAAGGGCAUGUGAUGGCCUGGGGACCACGUCCAAUGUGUGGUUUGUUGGGUUGACGCGCCUGUUGCUACC